rnacentral:rRNA from 1 species
UACGUAGGGUGCAAGCGUUAUCCGGAAUUAUUGGGCGUAAAGAGCUCGUAGGCGGUUUGUCGCGUCUGCUGUGAAAACUGGAGGCUCAACCUCCAGCCUGCAGUGGGUACGGGCAAACUAGAGUGCGGUAGGGGAGAUUGGAAUUCCUGGUGUAGCGGUGGAAUGCGCAGAUAUCAGGAGGAACACCGGUGGCGAAGGCGGGUCUCUGGGCAACAACUGACGCUGAGGAGCGAAAGCGUGGGGAGCGAACAGG